AACUGCAGAAUUUAUAGCCAACAGCCAGGUGCACCUAAUCACCACUCCACCCCGCGGCAGCUGCUAUAAAUUCAGUCAGUCUCUUGCUGCCUCCUUGCUGAUAACUGGCUGCUUCUUCUCAACUCCCUAAUCAGCCAUUGAUGCUUCUCUCACCUACAUUCUCUGAGAGGCAAUGGCUGCUUGGCCACUUGCACGGAGUCCACAUCUUUCCUCCAAAGGCCACUCUGCCCCACUGGCUCCUCCUGUGGCAACCGCUCACCUGGGCCCAUCUCGGAUGCCUCCACACUCAGAUCACAAACUUGACUCUCCUCAGAUGUCCCCUUGCUUCCCGUGGCCUGUGAUGAAGAACAAUCAAACCGAACUGGACCUCGACAGAGGAACAAACGUUUAGUUCUCAGCUCAAGGAAUAGCUGAGAGGUGCUUCCUUGUUUACAUCCUGAAGGACGUCAUCUUGUUUUGUGCUUUCCUCAGAUGCUAUUGUGCAAGGCAAACAUUUGAACACACAGGAAGAAUGAGAAACUGAAGACUGGGGCCAGUCACUUAUAUAAUCUAAUGAGUUUCUGCUGGCCCAGGGCCUGGGAACUGUGCAGAAGUACUCCCUUCUGACACUGCCUGCCAAAGCAGCUGUUUGUCUUUACUGUUCUGCAUCUGGAGGGAAAUAAUAAGGAAAUUAGUAUGGGAAAUAAGUGGGGAGGGCACACAAAAAAAACCUGUGCAAGGGAGGCUGAGAAUUACUUCCCCUACAAAAACCAAUAUUGGACUAGGCAUGGGAAGUGUGCUGAAACAAAUCAAACCCUAAGCAACCAAGAACUAUUGGGUGGACCACUGCAGCUACAGUUCUGCAAUGAGCUUAAUGAAGAUACUUAACUGAAAACGUGUCUUCUCAACAAAGAAACGGUGGAAUGAAAUUCAUUAGCUGAGCACUCAUGGUUGGGUCUGCACAUGCGCAGACACCAUUUCCUUCAUGACGCUGCCCAAAGGCUGCAGGGAACAGGGAACUUCAUGUUCCUGGCAAAAUGUGGCUGGGCAAACAGGGAGCCUGACUGCUGAAUACAAAGAGUACAGCUUGGGAGUGGCAGAGGAGCAAGGGGGGGGGGCAGGUAAGACCUGCCUUCCUCCUUUUAAAGUGCCUGCUUGCCCCCCACUGCAUUUCGGCACCUCAAAACAGAGGUGCCAAAAGGCUUUGAACACAUCCCUAGAAUGAAUGAGACUGUUCUCCAACUGUCUAGUUCAGGUGUUCCCAACCUGUCGUUCUCCAGAUGUUGCUGAACUACAACUUCCAUCACCCCAAGCUAAAAUUUAUUAUGGCUGGGGAUGAUGGGAGUUGUAGUUCAGCAACAUCUGGUGUACUACAGGUUGUGAACCCCUGGUCUAGUCUAUAGAAACAAAAGCCUUUAAAUAAAUAAAGCCUAUAAAUAUAAAGUCACCCUUUUUCUCUGAGUUUGGAUGUAAUUACUCUAACAGCAAGAAACUGGGAUUAUAUAAUCCGGGGAAGGAUCUCAUAACAAUGGUUUUCUUCAGUGAGAUGAGCACUAGAAUUUACUAUAGAGUUCUACUCUAGAACCCUAGAGUGUUCUGUUGGAGUACUUUUAAAAAAGAAUCUUGUGGUACCUGCUAACUGAACAAGGAGGCAUUUUUCAAGUGGCGGUUUUAUUUUAACUGAACUGGCAUAGGGGCUUUCCAGUGGUGGUGGUUGGUGUUUCCUUUGUGCUUAGCUUUGUUUUUUGGGUUGUAAGCCUGUUCAGGACAGAGAAUUAUCCAAUGUUUUCUUUUGCUAUGAACUAUUUAUGAGCUAUAAACUGUUUUGUGAACUUUUUUUUUGGCUGAAAUGUGGCAUAUAAAUAAAUAAAUAAAUAAUAGUACCUGAA